rnacentral:misc_RNA from 1 species
AACGCACAUUGCGCCCCCUGGCAUUCCGGGGGGCAUGCCUGUCCGAGCGUCAUUGCAACCCUCAAGCGCGGCUUGUGUUAUGGGCUUCGUCACCCUGUGGACGUGCCCCAAAUUCAGUUAUCAGGGCCGUGAUCGGCGCCCGAGCGAAUGGGAGAUCCACUAGCUCAGAGGGCACGACCUCCCCCGGUACAAAUGUCUAUCAUCAAGGUUGACCUCGGAUCAGGUAGGGAUACCCGCUGAACUUAA